AACACCUUCCACGCAUCAAGAACAUUCUCCAUACUUUGUGCUCACUAUAUGUCUCUCACCACAACUCUGCAAGUUACAGAUUAUCAUUCCCAACUUACAGCUGAGGAAAUGAAGUUACCAAGUGUCUCUAUGAGUAAGGAGAAGAAAAAUUCUAACCCCGGUCAAUGGAACGCAACAACUCAGUGCUCCUGCCUCUCCUGGUUCACCAUUCUCUCAGGAGGCAUCUCAUCCAGCAAGAUAUCCAUCUUGGACAUUCCAGCCCUAGAAGACACCAUGUGGAGCAGAAGCACCACCCAGCUGAGCCCAGUCAACCCGCAGACUCCUGCCCGCUCAGUCGCGUCAGUCAUGUCUGACUCUUCGCAACCCUAUGGAGUGUAGCCCUACAUGCUCUGCUGUUCAUGGGAUUCUCCAGCUGUUUUGCAGAUACUGAAACCCCCACCAGGUGGGAGAAGUCAACUGUGUGCUGCCCACAAGCAUGGAGACCUCAGACUGGACGGAACCAGAACGUUGAAGAUGUUGACUCCCGAUUACCCCGCCGCCAACCAAUCAGAAGAAUGUCCAUGAGCUGAUAACACCUGCUCCCGGAACACUACAACUCUCCUCACUACACCUCAUGGUUGGGACAGAUGGAGGGCAUUGGCCUGCUGUGGCCCCCUGUGCCUGACACACCCAUAGGAGCUACUCUUUUCUAUGUCACCCAAAUCGCUGUCUCCAUGUUCCUAUUUGGCAUCAGUGAACAGAGGCUGAGUUUUAGCCACACCCCCAGGUGACGGAGCACAGAGCUCAGAUGUAAGCCGUGGUAACCUGGCUCUAGGGGUCAUGUGUUCAACCCCUAAAUCUGCUGUGACCUUGAUGUCUGAGGCUCCACACACAGGGAGGAUCCCUUCUAUCUCUAAGAAGUGCUGGAAAAAGAAGGUGGGGAGGAGGGGCAUGAGAACUGUGCAGGGAAGGGUGCGCCCAGGUGAGCUGUGUGGUUGUUGAAACACAAACUGCAGGGCCUGCUGGAGCCAAGGAGGUGAGGCUGCCUUAGAGGAACCCACCAGGAGCAGGCCUGUCCUCCCAGCAGCUGCCAGACCUUGGCCGGUACCAUGCUUCUGUACCCCUACCCCGCCACACACACCUUCUCCCUUUCCUCCAGGCUUCGUAUCCAUCUCUUUGCCUCAAGAUUCCUGCAUGUGAGGGUCCUGAGUCCCUUCUUCCAGCUGUUCCUCUCUCUGCCCAGUCUGUGCCCCACCCUCAGGGGCUUCUGAGUGGAAGCCAUGCUCUCACCCUAGAUCGGCCAUGGAGAACCCAGGAUCCAGAAUUUCUACUGCCUCAGGCUCCGGGUUGACCUUUCUGGGCCCAAGGUCCUGGGAGCAGAGGAGUGUGAGUCAGAGGAAGGCGGACGGCCCGGGAAGCCCAUUGCAACAGGGGAGGG